rnacentral:rRNA from 1 species
GAUGAACGCUGGCGGCGUGCCUAAUACAUGCAAGUCGAGCGAACGGACGAGAAGCUUGCUUCUCUGAUGUUAGCGGCGGACGGGUGAGUAACACGUGGAUAACCUACCUAUAAGACUGGGAUAACUUCGGGAAACCGGAGCUAAUACCGGAUAAUAUUUUGAACCGCAUGGUUCAAAAGUAAAAGACGGUCUUGCUGUCACUUAUAGAUGGAUCCGCGCUGCAUUAGCUAGUUGGUAAGGUAACGGCUUACCAAGGCAACGAUGCAUAGCCGACCUGAGAGGGUGAUCGGCCACACUGGAACUGAGACACGGUCCAGACUCCUACGGGAGGCAGCAGUAGGGAAUCUUCCGCAAAGGGCGAGAGCCUGACGGAGCAACGCCGCGUGAGUGAUGAAGGUCUUCGGAUCGUAAAACUCUGUUAUUAGGGAAGAACAUAUGUGUAAGUAACUGUGCACAUCUUGACGGUACCUAAUCAGAAAGCCACGGCUAACUACGUG